UCACAUCACGUUGAAACACCAGUUCCCGUACGAUCACCGAAGUUAAGCAAUGUCUCCCCUGGUCACUACCUAGAUAGGUGAUCACUUGGGCGUCACCAGGUGCUGUAAG